GCCAGAGUAGGGAUGAACAGUAGAAAUGAUUUCUAUUAGUUUAUCAAUCGAGUCAUCAUCAUUUGAUCGAGAUACAUAUGGUUAGAUAUUUAGGUUUGACAUAUUUCAUACCCAUAGCCUUUUUGAGAUAUUAUAUGAUCGAAGGAUUGAAUUGUACGGUAACUCACCAUGGAAGGAUAAUUUUGAUAUUUUUAUCAAAUUUUAAAAUUUUUAGAUA
rnacentral:lncRNA from 1 species